rnacentral:tRNA from 1 species
UGGCUCAGCGGUUAAGAGCACCAUGGACUGCUCUUCCAUAGGUCCUGAGUUCAAUUCUCAG